rnacentral:rRNA from 1 species
UACGAAGGUCCCAAGCGUUGUUCGGAAUCACUGGGCGUAAAGGGAGCGUAGGCGGCGUGGUAAGUCAGAUGUGAAAUCCCGGGGCUCAACCCCGGAACUGCAUCCGAUACUGCCAUGCUAGAGGAUUGGAGAGGUAGCUGGAAUUCUUGGUGUAGCAGUGAAAUGCGUAGAGAUCAAGAGGAACACUCGUGGCGAAAGCGAGCUACUGGACCGAUACUGACGCUGAGGAGCGAAAGCCAGGGGAGCAAACGGG